rnacentral:lncRNA from 1 species
CAGGUACGCGGGCGGCGACCCCGCCAACUGUCUGCUGAGCAGUCCCGGAGCUCGCGCGGAGCUGGCGGGGAUCCGGGGUUCGGGUUUGGUGGGCUCGGAGGGUGGGCGGCACCCCGGUUGGCGGGCGGGCCUGGGGCCCCACUGAGCGUUUCUCUCAGGCUUGUCCACUCCAGAUUUGCGAGGGACCCCUGCUAGCCGUGACAUCGAAGUGAGCAUAGACUUUCUGUGGACACGUGGUUAGGAAUUUGUGUUAAACGAAGACAAAAAUUAAUCCUAAAGGAUUAAGACAUGGGGGUCUGGAAAUGCGUUUGAUGUGAGUACGCCCUGUCCUGGGGUCCGACUAGGCUUGCAAAAUGAUCCUUGUGUAGUCGUCUUGUACACACAUCCCUGGUCACUGUGGGCUGGACAACGGCUAAAGCACACAGAUGCGAAACUGCUGUUUUCAAAGAGGCAGAUCUUUGGACCGAAACUCAUUUACAGCAGCGCAGAGAGCUGCAAGCGACUGUUGGCCCUUUGGUACCCUGGUGUGCUUAAGGUACUGAGAAUGGAAGAACUGUGCCAGAAAUUGGCGUUCUUAGCCUACUGUGCUACCAAAGCCUGACUUGCACUGUGUUUAAACAGAUAAAGAUAACCUAAAAAAAAAAAAAAACAAAACGAAACUAUGUAUGAAAAGUAUGUAUGAGUGUAGGUCCCUACAGAGGCCAGAGAUGUCAGGCCCCUGCAGCAGGAGCUAUGGCCAGUUGAACUCAGGUCCUCUGUAAGAAUAGUAGGUGCUCUUAACCACUGAACCAGCUAUUCAGCUCUGUAAUUUUAUUAUGUAAAAGGUGCUUUGUAUACAUAUAUGUUUGAAAGUUUGUGGUUCAGGUUUUUCUCAGCAGAGGUAAGUGAAUCUCUGUGAGUUCGAGUACAUCUUGAUCUACAGAGUGAGUUCCAGGACAGCUAGGGCUAUAUAGAGAGACUGUCUCAAAAACACAAACAAACAAAGUCAACUCUUUAAUCCCAGCACUCAGGAGGCAGGAGCAGGCAGAUCCCCAUGAGUUUGAGGUUAGCUUACUCUACAUAUUGAACUCCAGGACAGCCAUGGCUACUUAAAAGAUAAAAAAGAAAGUUGGCUUCUAAGCCAUGCUUGUGAUACCUGUUUAUAAUCCCAGCCCCAGAGGCAAAUACAGGAAUAUUUCCCUGAGUUUGGGGACAGUCUGGGCUACAUAGUGAGUUUCAAGUCAGCCCCAGCUACAGAGGUCCUGCCUC